GGAGGGAGAGAGAGAAGAAGAAAAAAGAGGGAAAAAAGGAAAUCACAGCCAUACAGGCAGUGCUCCUCGACCAAGCCCUAUCUGCAGCUCAGCGGUGGGAGAGGACGUUAUAUGCCUGUCUGCUCCUCCCUCUCUCCAAAGGGUCCCAUCUGUCAGCCAUUAGUGCACCAGGGGCUGCUGGUGGAGAAGCUGGCAGAGCGUGUGGGACCAGGGGACAGCUUCACCUCCAGGUGCAGGGCACAGAGGAUGAGGGCAAGGGCAGCCACCUCCGCUCCACUCACACACAUGGCACACAUGGAGCCAUGCUCACAACUCUGGAAGGGAAUCCUGACUGCAGGCUAAAGAGGAUCCAGUUCCCUGCACUAUGUCUUUGACUAUCCAAGCGGUAAGCCAGAGGGCCAAAGCAUGAUGAGACCAGACUUGUCAAUAACCAACCAGCAAAGACCGAAAUGCCGAAACACAUCCUCUAAAUGUUUGGACAUGACCUGUUUCCGCCAAGUCGUUUACAUGGUAAAUAUGCUAUACAUUCACCAUUUUGUGUCGUUCCAUUGCUUUGGUGCAAGUUCAAACUCUUUGAGGUUUGAGUCAGAGUAAAGGGCCGUUCACACCAGGAACGAUAACUAUAAAAAAUAUCGCUCUCGUUAAUAUGAAUGACGACGUUCACACAUAAACUAUAACGAUGACGACAUGAAGAACAAUAUCAUUGGGGAUCACUUUCAGAGCCAUUUUGAGAAUGAUAACGCUAACAGCCAAUCAGAACCCAUUUUAGCCAUCACUAACACAAGGAGAUACUUUACUUAUCGUUGGUCAGUGUGGACGCUUUUAUUGUAAUGGAUAUAGUUAUCGUUAUAGUUAUCAUUUCUGGUGUGAACGGCCCUUAAGGAUGGUAGAUGCAACUGAUCAUUCUAAUGGAUAUAAAUGUUAUUUAGAAUAGGAAAGAAAUGUGCAAAGAGUAAAAUAGUAAACUUACAGUAUAUAAAUGUGAAACCGUUUUAUCCUGACAAAGAAAUACUGCCUAAACUACUUCACAUGUCCAAAUAAACACCAUUUCCAUAUGAAUAUGUGAAUGCCAAGCUUGAAUUCAGACCACACCACACAGGGCAGACAGAGCAAAGGGUCUUAUAAUACUGAGCAUAUGUGUUCCCAUGCUGCAUAGCCUUUUCAAAGAAGCCCAGCACUGACCUGCAGCCAGUCCAAACUCAAGAGUUGUGUGAAGACAGUCCAGAAUAUUACACCUCUCACUACCAAACACACGCUAUACAUGUGCUUAUCACAUGGCAACUAUCUGAGCUCAGAGGGGGGUAAUCUUCAUAUUUUGUUCAUAUUUGUAAGACAAACUGAUAAGUGGUGUCAUUUUUCCAGGGAGAGUCGGCAUCAUUUUGCCGUAGGCUGUUUAAAAAUGAGCUAUGAGUCUAGUUGAAACAUGCUCCUUGCUAACUGACACAAUAGAGUGUCACAAAAAAGGGGGAUUACAGAAGAGGAUGGGAAGAUAUGCAUGUGUCUGUUUUUCCUCUCUCUCUCUCUCUCUCUCUCUCUCUGUGUCAAGGUCCUUUUUUCGCAGGGGAGAGAAGUCAAAACAACACAUGCUGUCGACGUGGGAACAGCUGGUAAGAGUGAGCAGUGGAAUGCCGGAGGCCGGGCUGCAGAUCAAUCAUCUGCCAGGGUGAAAAUAACCACCCUGACCUGAUCACCACGCAAAAGAGAGCGACCUCCUCAACCCAUCUUACACUAAGACACCUUUCACGCAAAAUGUAUGUUAAACUCGUAACCACAUACAGUCAUGAAGACAUCUAGAUGUUCAUUGUCAAUGGAAUUAUAUCAAGGACACCUUUUACAUACUUUACAUAUACAUAUUCUAAAGAGAACAGGGUAUGUGGUCACUGGUGUUACAUAGAUUAUAUAGACGCAGGCUGUGGUUCUCAAAAAUCAGUGUCCAGGCAGCUGAGGAAGUAAGGCCAUAAUUUUGCUAUUGCUGCUCUCUGAGAAAGUAUGGCAGCCAAAUAAACACUGCUAAGACAGCCUAUAGUUUCUUGUGCAGAGUUUUCUCUGUAUGCUAACACCACUCAGCAAAAGAUAAACUAUGCAGCCAUAAGUCAACACCAAACAACACAACUUGGACCUACUCACCCCAAAAGCUCAUCUGGAACUUAUUUUUAACUUUUCCGCCCUAUGCAUUACAAAAUUAUCUUGGGUAUACAAUAAGCACACCUUAGUUGGCUAUAGAAAGAAUGAGACAGCUUGGGCACUGGCUAGACAGCAUAGCUUGGUUACAUUCUAAUAAUAAUAACAUAAAUUUCCCCUAGUAUAUCAUAAUCAAUCUCACCAUACUUACGGUGAUCAGAUUUCUUCAGAUUUGUUCAAUACUUUCAAGCUUUAGGCUACGUUUUUAUAAACGGACAUUUCACCCUCUCUGUUUCAAAAAUAACAUUGUGCACACCUGUCUGUUUUCAGAAAAGUUUUCGUUUACACUAACCCGUGUAUAUAUGUCGUCAAGAGCAUGCCAAACCUGUAGGUGGCAGUGUAACGAGAAGCUCAAGCCCACAUUAGUCAAUCAGAAUCCCGAAAAUAGCAAAUGCAAACAGACAAAAAGAGUUUGCACCAACAUAAAUGCGACUGCUACUCUGAAUGCAUCCAUGAUCACCAUAGCUAAAUGAAAAUGUAAACAUAGAUUGCACUUUUGGCUCAGGUGCAAGUUCUGGUGCAUACUGAGAUGUUGGUUGCCUAAACCUCCAUUUUUGUCAGUUUACAUGCAAACGUGCAACCAAAGUUUUCCAAAAUCUCCACUCUGGCUGGAGUUAUUAGAAUCAUUUUCAGAGGCAAAUUAUCCAUUUGCAUUUACACAAAAUAACCAUGUAUGUGUAAACGGAGUCUCAGCCUCCACUUAAGAGUACCUGGUUAACAUCCAGGGACAUUGGAAUCAAAGACAAGGUUGUGUGAGAGGGCCCCAAAUUCUCAUUCAAGGGUUUGCUGACUUUCAACACCUGCUCUGCAUGUCUCUCAUUAACGCAUUCCUGCUAGCUGAGUGUCCUGUGUUUACAUUACUCCGUUUAAUGGAGACAUUAGAAGGUGAUGUUGUUCUACGUUGCAGUGUUAGGUGCUGCAUUUACUGAGUGGCUCGCUCUUUAGUGAGCACAGGUGCAGGCAACAGAGUCUUGCAAAGGGCAAGACAAUUUAUACGCAAGUCAAGUGUGCUUCAAUUUGCUAAAAAGAUAAAAUCCCUGUGCACUGGCUGUUUUUGGAUCCCAGGUGCUGGUGGUGUGCAGGAAUAUCAGACGUUAAAAUAUAAAGAUCAUCACCACACACUAGUCUAAUAUUAGGAAUUGUUUAUAAGGAGCGAACAAUGUGUAGCUUCUUCAGGUUCACUCUCCAAGUAGCUAGCCAACUAUAACUCACUAGUCAACAGGAACAAUUACGCAGUUACAAACUAUGCUGCAGGCCCUGAUUAAAACUAGCUAGUUUGCUAACAAAUGUUUUUUCAGCGUUUUGGUGACAUGCUGUAAUAGCAAUUUUAAAAUUUACCUGUAAGGGUAUAACCUGUCUUUAACAUGACUAUACACCAAUCAGCCACAACAUUAAAUCAUCUGCGUAAUAUUGCGUAGGUCUCCCUCUUGCCGACAAAACAGCUUUGAAUCUUCAAAGCAUGGACUCCACAAGAUCUCUAAAGGGGUCCUGUGGUAUCUGGUAUCACAACAUUAGCAGCAGACUCUUUUAAGUCCUGUAAGUUGCAAGUUGUUAAGUCCUGUAAGUUGAGAUCAGGUGAAUUUGGAAGCGAAGUCAACACCUUGAACACUUUUGUCAUGUUCCUCUAACAUUUACAGAACAAUUUUUGCAGUGUGGCACAUCAUCAUAUUGCUGGAAAAGGCCAAUACAAUCAGGGAAUUCCAUGGUCAUGAAGAAAUGUAAGUGGUCUGCUACAGUUUUUAUGUUUGUGGAUUGGGUCAAAGUAACAUCCACAUUGAGUGCCAAGGCCCAGAGCAUCACACUGCCUCCAGCAUUUUGCCUUGUUCCCAUAGUGCCUCCAGCUGCCAUCUCAUUCGUGGGUAAACAACACACGAACAACUGGCCAUGAUGAAAAAUGAAAAGAAAAUGUGAUCCAUCAGACUAGACUUUCUCCUGUUGCUCCAUAGUCCAGAUAUGUCGCUCACAAAACAUCAUGCUAUUAUAGGUGCUUCUCUGGAUAAGGUUCAGCAUGUGUAGUCUGACCAGUCUGUGGUUAUGCAGUCCCAUACACAGCAAGCUGUGAUGCACUGUGUGCUCUGACAUCUUUCUAUCAUAGAGCAGCAUAAAGGUUCUAAACGUUUUGUGCUACAACAGUUCUUCAGUGGGAUGCACUCCCCACAUUCAAUGAGCCUUAGGCAUCCAUGACCCUGUUGCUGGUUUAAAGGUUGUUCUACCUUGGACCACUUUUGGUAGAUUGUUGACCACUGCAUACCGGGACCACCCCAAAAGGCCUGCCAUUUUGGAGAUGCUUUGACCCAGUUCUCUAACCAUCACAAUUUGGCCUGGAACAAAAUUGCAUGGAUCAAAAAAAUCUGACUGUUUGCUGGCUGCCUAAUUUAUCUCAUUCUUACAGCGAUGCCACUGUAUCAAGAUAAUCAAUGGUAGCCUAUUCACUUCAUCUGUCAGUGGUUUUAAUGUUGCUGAUUGGUGUAUACCAUCAAAACAUGCUUGAUGAAGUUAUGAAAAAAUAGCUAUCUACACAAACAUACUUUCAACACUGUGGAAAAAGAUUUUCACACUUCAUCUGUUUGAUAAAGUUGUUGGCUGCGUCUGACCAGGAAAGUCAGUGAGGUUUGGCGUAGCAUAAGGUUUUCAUCCUAAAUUUGGCUUAACAAUGAUUUGUGACUAGCCUGUACACACAUUGCAAUCAGAACCAUCACACUCCCCACUUCUACAAGCAAAGCGUACAGUAUGUGAUUGAGUUUGCCAUGUGAUUGAGUUUGCAUAAGAUAUCCAAGGGGAAAAUCCUGUCAGCCACCAGUGCCUGCAAUUCUAGAGUACAUAUUUGUAGUCAAGGGUCAAACACCAAGCUUUGGAGUAGCGCCAUUCAUUAUUCUGAUGAAUACUACACUAGUACUUGAUGGUUUUAGGCUGGGGAGACAUAUUGUGAUUUAGACAGCGGUGUCUUUAAUCAUGGCCAGAGACUGGAUUAAGUAUGUAACAUCGAUGAGCAGUCUCAGGCAGACAUGCUGGUAUUUCCUUCCCAUCUGUGCACCAGUGGCCCUUUAGCUCAGAGCGGCGCUCAACGAGAAACAGACCAGACAGGUAAUGAAGAAUGCACAUAGGAAGAGAAGGGGCCUUUAAAAUGAGCAGAGCCGAGUCAAAGUCAAGAACCUCAGUGUGGUAGGUGUCUCUGUUGGAUACUACCGAGCGAAAUGUCAUAUUGUCAUAUGGAGUAGCAGUUUAACGGGUUUGAAGGUUCAAUAGAAAGGAAGUGAUAGUGAUAAUCUUGAGUUGCCUGGUGAGCAGGAAACUGAGUUAGCCUAAGAUCUAAGAUACCCUAUCCAUCGCAUAACUCUACUCCAAAGCACUGGCUCACUCAGCAAUAUGAACCAUGUGCCCUGUAUCAUUCUCAAUCUGUGGGUAUACAGAGGGGAUACAAUCUAAUCAAUAAUUACAUAAAGAGAUACGCCCUUCCAAGAAGUUAAAAUCACCUCAAAGAGAGCUGUCACCUCUAAGCUUAAAAGAUUGCUUGGAGUUUGGUGAUGUUAGCUUGAGGCAAAGCAGCUGCUCUGUCUGGUUGUCUGCUAUGGGCCCUGUUCCUGAUCACGCAACAAACCAGGGAAAGCCCAGCUUAAACACUUCCAGAUUGCCUGCGACAUCUCUCAUUUGAUCCUGUUGUAUCCCUAACCAGAUGGAGUGCCGGCUUUAGAAACCCCUAUGGCUCCACAAGCUUUUUGAAUUGGAAAUACACAUAUUUUGUAUUGGCGUUGGCAUAAUUAUAUUAGUUUUUGUUCACAGCUGGUCAGUCUUUGGCAAACUAUUUAAACAACUAUGUUUAAACCUCAGGCUAAAUUAAUGGCUAUAAAGGGAGCGAUUUGUAUCACAGGAAAGACUCACUGAGGUUAACACACAAUUUCUAACAUGCCAUUUCUAAAAUAUGAGCAUCUUGGCCUCAGGAUCUACCAUAUCUGGGGUAGGUCCAAAUUGUACAAACAUAACAUGAUUGUUGUUACUUCAUUAUUCUUUUAAAUGAAGCAUAGGAUGUUUUAAUCAGACAUUUAAUUGCUGUUUAAAAACAGGCCACAAUGCAUCAAAGUUGGCAGAGAGUUGGAUACAAAUAUCACAGUGCUAGGGAAUAAAUUUUGUGGUCACAAACACAUUUCUUUGAUUCAAAACAGACAGGAAAUUAAAUAAUGGGGGGGAUGAAAACAAGGUCACUCUUCUGUUUAAAAAAUGGCUUUUCUCCAUCUUCUCCAACUGUUUGGCCUUUUUAAUAAAGCCUUCAUUGCCUUUGUCAAAGUUCUGCUCUUGUUGAAUGUGCAUGUAUUGCUUAACAUCUGCAACAUGUAGGGAAUGGGUCUCUGUCAAGGCUAACAAUUUACUUCUGACCUGCGUUUGGUAUGAUUUUAUAUAGCACCAAAGGCAUUAACAGCAUUAACAUCCAGCUUAACCGCCAGCACUUUACUCUGAGAAGAACCCUGGCUGAAUGGAGAGUAACUACUACACUGAACAUAAACAUACCCCCAGAGUUUAGCACUGUAGCUGCUUGGUUGCUCUAGCUGUUGGCUGCAGCAACUCGAGCUAGGUAGAACCAUUUUUUUUUUGUUUCUCUUCAUACAGACAGUACUCAGUGACCUCAAGAAAUCUCGGUGAAAAAUCACCAGAAUUCUCCUUUAAGAUCGAACUCACUGCUGGCCUUGCCUAUACCUCCCUGCGCGCAUGGCACAUGACCGUGAUCAGAAAACACUAGCACGGAGAAGUCAGGGGGUGUCUGACCCAGCAGUGACAGGGCUCACGUGUGCCCUAAGGGUUCCUUGGGACCCUUGAGACUAUGCAUAGGACAUGUGGGUCUCAUUUAAACACAGACAUCAGGUUUGAGGCCAAUUCAGGCAAUCCACCCCCUCUACUCCUAGUCAGAAAGCAACCACUGCUCAGUUUUGGUAGAUGAAAUCUGGAUUUUAAAAGCAAAUCAGGUUUUGGAGUCAGUCGAAUGAGUCAUACAACUGAUUCAAAGAAUAGGGAAAUGUUUAGCUGAAGUGAGUACAAAUUGAUAGCCUUUGGUCUUUUUAAUGGUUACCCCGUUUGUAUUCAAUUAGAAAUAAGUCUGCAAUGAUCAACGCUGAUCUAUCUGAUGGCCAAGGUAAGUUUUUUUAAAGGCAGAUAAUAAUGUAUAGAAAAGUUAUUGCUGAGUAAUCUGUUUGGUUCCAAACAUGAACCCCAUGCAGACCCUGCAACAGACUUCCCUAAUGAUUACUUACAGUGGAAAAUUGUUUUGUUAGUGUGCUAUCUAGCUCUGUGCUCACAUAAAAAUGACAAAUGACCUAAAAUUUGCAUUGGAGGAGGCUGGGUCAAUAGAUGUUUCAGGGGGCCCCACAGUGUGUGAAAACAGGUCUUGCAUAACUGUACCCACUCAUUCACUGGGUUGAAAGGUCAAUUUACUUUUGUAGCUAUGAGAAACAUCCCAGUAAUGUUACGCAAAUAAAAAAAAAACUACAAAAACCAGGCAAUUUCCUUCCUUUCCAGACAUAUCCUAAGCCUCUAAUAAACUAGAGGACUGGAUAGAGCAUAUUGCUACACAAGGCUUCACAGAAUGGUAUGCAGUGUUUAUCUGCUAUUUUUUUUCAGAGGAAUAGAAAUGCAGGGCAAACGUAUGUCUCUUUGUUUUAUAUAUCAGCCUCAGAGUCAUAUAAUCAUUUUCAGAUAAAUCAUUUUAUUGUGUAAAUUCCUAAAUGGCUACAUUUGGUAACUUCCCAUGACUUAUAAUGAAACUGUGUUUGUAUAAAUGUAUGGUGUAAUAUAACAACAAAAUGCCACAGUUAAUAUUGUACGUAAUAUUUCAGCUGCUAAAAUGCAAUUCUCUUGGUCCACAUACAUGUUUAACCCACUAUGAACCAUUUAGCAGACAUGCUUAAUAUAUUUCUAUAGGGAUAACAUAUUUUUUUAUUAAAAUUUCAUUAUGAAUGUGAUUAUUCUCAAUUUUUUUUCCCCAAAGCAAUGGCCAUUUGGUCUUCUUAUGCAGUGGUUCUCAAAUGGAGGCAUGCGCACCCCUGGGGGUACCUGAAGGCACU